rnacentral:rRNA from 1 species
UACGGGGGGGGCAAGCGUUGUUCGGAAUUACUGGGCGUAAAGGGCUCGUAGGCGGCCAACUAAGUCAGACGUGAAAUCCCUCGGCUUAACCGGGGAACUGCGUCUGAUACUGGAUGGCUUGAGUUUGGGAGAGGGAUGCGGAAUUCCAGGUGUAGCGGUGAAAUGCGUAGAGAUCGAGAGGAACACCAGUGGCGAAGGCGAGUCCCCUGGACAAACACCUGACGCUGAGGCACGAAAGCGUGGGGGAGCAAACAGG